rnacentral:rRNA from 1 species
UUGUGUGUUCAAGUUUUUAAGGGCAUACGGUGGAUGCCUUGGCAUCAGGAGCCGAUGAAGGACGUGGGAGCCUGCGAUAUGCCUCGGGGAGUCGGCAACCA